AUGGAGGUGGUGGUGCCGAUCGGGGCGCAGAAGCACGACCCGGCGUGGAAGCACUGCCUCAUGGUGCGCCUGGCGGGGCGGGACCGCCUCAAGUGCGUCUACUGCGGCAAGCACUUCCUCGGCGGCGGCAUCCACCGCUUCAAGGAGCACCUCGCGCGCCGCCCGGGCAACGCCUGCUGCUGCCCCGACGUCCCCGCCGACGUCGAGGCCCUCAUGCACCGCAGCCUUGACGACGUCGCCGCCAAGAAGCUGCGCAAGCGCGCCCUCGCCGCCGCCAUGGCCGCCGUCGCCUCCGCCGACCCCUCGCCCGCCGCCUUGCCGCCGGCCUCCUCGCCAUCCCCCUCCCCCUCCGCCUCCAACGCCGACCUGGCCAGCCCCAUCCACGUCCUCCCGCUCAGCCAGGCCCCCCGCGCCGAGGACACGCCGCUGUCCCAGACGGGGUGGAGCGGCGGGGGUGCUGCCAAGAGGAGGAAGAAGGUGCUGACGGUGAGGCGCGCUCCUGCUUCUGCUCCGCAGGCCCAGCAGCAGCCCCUCCAGCCUGCUACUCCUGCCCCCCAGACGCAGCCUCCUCACCAGACUAUCAUGGCGCUCGAUGCGACAGCAACAGCGCCUCCGUCGUCGAGGCAUGCCGAUCCGGCUGCUGGCUCGGACAGGGAGCAGGUUUGCAUGGCGGUCGGCAGGUUUCUGUAUGACGCCGGUGUGCCACUGGAGGCGGUGAAUUCCGUGCAUUUCCAGCCGAUGGUCGACGCCAUUGCGUCCAUGGGAGGGAGGCCCGAGGUGUUCUCGUACCAUGACUUCCGCGGCUGUGUUCUGAAGAAGUCGCUGGGCGAAGUGACGGCUCAGUUGGAGUUCUACAAGGGGUCAUGGGCCCGCACAGGGUGCUCAGUGUUGUCCGAUGAGUGGACGACUGACAAAGGCAGGACCUUGAUGACCUUUUCUGUGUAUUGCCCUGAAGGUACCAUGUUUCUGAAAUCGGUCGAUGCAACGGAUAUCGUCACAUCAUCAGAUGCAUUGUUUGAGCUGCUGAAGAGUGUUGUUGAGGAAGUUGGAGAGAAAAAUGUCGUCCAGGUGAUCACAAAGAACUCUGAGAUUCAUGCAGCCGCAGGGAAAAGGUUAGGUGAAACAUUUCCUACGCUGUUCUGGUCUCCAUGCACUUUCCGGUGCAUCGAUGGUAUGCUUGAAGAUUUCAGCAAGGCGGUGGCAGUUAGUGAGAUCAUUAGCAAUGCAAAGACCAUCACUGGAUUUUUGUACAGCAGUGCUCUUGCGUUGAGUUUGAUGAAGAAACAUCUACAGGGGAAGGAUCUGCUAGUUCCUGCAGAGACUCGUGCUGCUAUGAACUUUGUGACACUGAAAAACAUGUACAGUCUGAAGGAAGAUUUGCAAGCCAUGGUCAGUUCAGAUGAAUGGGUACACUGCCUGCUGCCAAAGAUACCCGGAGGGAUAGAAGUGAGCAAUAUUGUUAGCAAUUCGCAAUUUUGGUCUUCAUGUGCCUUAGUUGUUCGUGCCACCGAACCACUUGUGCAUCUUCUUAAGCUGGUAGGUAGCAACAAGAGGCCUGCUAUGGGGUAUGUUUAUGCUGGAUUAUACAAAGCCAAAGCAGCAAUCAAGAAAGAGCUACUGAAGAAGAGCGACUAUAUGCCUUACUGGAACAUUAUUGACCAGAGAUGGGACAAGCACAUGCAGCGACCGCUUCAUUCAGCUGGUUUCUUCCUAAAUCCACUGUUUUUUGACGGAAUUAGAGAUAACAUAUCGAAUGAGAUUUUCUCAGGAAUGCUAGACUGUGUAGAAAGGCUGGUGUCUGAUGUCAAAAUCCAAGAUAAAAUUCAGAAGGAGCUUAACAUGUAUCGGAGCGAGGCAGCUGGGGAUUUUCGUAGGCAAAUGGCUAUCCGAGCCCGGCGUACUUUACCUCCUGCUGAGUGGUGGUAUAUGUAUGGCGGAGCAUGCCCGAAUUUAACACGUUUGGCAGUACGUAUCCUCAGUCAAACCUGCAGCGCUAAAGGGUGUGAUCGGACACACAUUCCUUUCGAACCACUCCAUGACCAAAGAAUGAAUAUUUUUGAACGUCAACGAAUGCAUCAUCUCACCUUUGUUCAAUGCAACCUGCGGCUACAAAACAGGCAACAAUACAAGGCGAAUGCAUUUGAUCCAAUCUCGGUAGACUACAUAGACAUAGUUGAUGACUGGGUGGUGGAUAGAUCUGCACUGUUCUCUGGACCGACGGAGCAGCCAAACUGGAUGGAGAUUAGUCAACCAUUCAACUGGACCCCAUCAGCAGGACCGGGCGAUGAAUUCGAGUCCUUCAUUGAAGGUACAUAUCCUCCUUGCUUACCCGUUUGUCCGUGGGUAAUGUUGAGGGUUAAACAUGAAGAUUUUGUUUGCAGGAGUCGAUGA
rnacentral:rRNA from 1 species